rnacentral:rRNA from 1 species
UAAUACGUAGGUGGCAAGCGUUGUCCGGAAUUAUUGGGCGUAAAGCGCGCGCAGGUGGUUCCUUAAGUCUGAUGUGAAAGCCCACGGCUCAACCGUGGAGGGUCAUUGGAAACUGGGGAACUUGAGUGCAGAAGAGGAUAGUGGAAUUCCAAGUGUAGCGGUGAAAUGCGUAGAGAUUUGGAGGAACACCAGUGGCGAAGGCGACUAUCUGGUCUGUAACUGACACUGAGGCGCGAAAGCGUGGGGAGCAAACAGGAUUAGAUACCCUGGUAGUCCACGCCGUAAACGAUGAGUGCUAAGUGUUGGGGGGUUUCCGCCCCUCAGUGCUGCAGCUAACGCAUUAAGCACUCCGCCUGGGGAGUACGGUCGCAAGACUG